UACAGAGGGUGCGAGCGUUAAUCGGAAUUACUGGGCGUAAAGCGUGCGUAGGUGGUUUAAUAAGUCAGAUGUGAGAUCCCCGGGCUCAACCUGGGAACUGCAUUGGAUACUGGCAGGCUAGAGUGCGGUAGAGGGUAGUGGAAUUCCCGGUGUAGCAGUGAAAUGCGUAGAGAUCGGGAGGAACAUCCGUGGCGAAGGCGACUACCUGGACCAGCACUGACACUGAGGCACGAAAGCGUGGGGAGCAAACAGG
rnacentral:rRNA from 1 species